rnacentral:rRNA from 1 species
ACGAGUGGCGGACGGGUGAGUAACACGUAGGUAACCUGCCCAGAAGCGGGGGACAACAUUUGGAAACAGAUGCUAAUACCGCAUAACAGCGUUGUUCGCAUGAACAACGCUUAAAAGAUGGCUUCUCGCUAUCACUUCUGGAUGGACCUGCGGUGCAUUAGCUUGUUGGUGGGGUAACGGCCUACCAAGGCGAUGAUGCAUAGCCGAGUUGAGAGACUGAUCGGCCACAAUGGGACUGAGACACGGCCCAUACUCCUACGGGAGGCAGCAGUAGGGAAUCUUCCACAAUGGGCGCAAGCCUGAUGGAGCAACACCGCGUGAGUGAAGAAGGGUUUCGGCUCGUAAAGCUCUGUUGUUAAAGAAGAACACGUAUGAGAGUAACUGUUCAUACGUUGACGGUAUUUAACCAGAAAGUCACGGCUAACUACGUGCCAGCAGCCGCGGUAAUACGUAGGUGGCAAGCGUUAUCCGGAUUUAUUGGGCGUAAAGAGAGUGCAGGCGGUUUUCUAAGUCUGAUGUGAAAGCCUUCGGCUUAACCGGAGAAGUGCAUCGGAAACUGGAUAACUUGAGUGCAGAAGAGGGUAGUGGAACUCCAUGUGUAGCGGUGGAAUGCGUAGAUAUAUGGAAGAACACCAGUGGCGAAGGCGGCUACCUGGUCUGCAACUGACGCUGAGACUCGAAAGCAUGGGUAGCGAACAGGAUUAGAUACCCUGGUAGUCCAUGCCGUAAACGAUGAGUGCUAGGUGUUGGAGGGUUUCCGCCCUUCAGUGCCGGAGCUAACGCAUUAAGCACUCCGCCUGGGGAGUACGACCGCAAGGUUGAAACUCAAAGGAAUUGACGGGGGCCCGCACAAGCGGUGGAGCAUGUGGUUUAAUUCGAAGCUACGCGAAGAACCUUACCAGGUCUUGACAUCUUGCGCCAACCCUAGAGAUAGGGCGUUUCCUUCGGGAACGCAAUGACAGGUGGUGCAUGGUCGUCGUCAGCUCGUGUCGUGAGAUGUUGGGUUAAGUCCCGCAACGAGCGCAACCCUUGUUACUAGUUGCCAGCAUUAAGUUGGGCACUCUAGUGAGACUGCCGGUGACAAACCGGAGGAAGGUGGGGACGACGUCAGAUCAUCAUGCCCCUUAUGACCUGGGCUACACACGUGCUACAAUGGACGGUACAACGAGUCGCGAACUCGCGAGGGCAAGCAAAUCUCUUAAAACCGUUCUCAGUUCGGACUGCAGGCUGCAACUCGCCUGCACGAAGUCGGAAUCGCUAGUAAUCGCGGAUCAGCAUGCCGCGGUGAAUACGUUCCCGGGCCUUGUACACACCGCCCGUCACACCAUGAGAGUUUGUAACACCCAAAGUCGGUGGGGUAACCUUUUAGGAGCCACCCGC